AAACUCUUCACUUAAUAUGUCAAAUAAUAUCAUGUUGCUUAUUUUUCUUUGCAUUCCUUGAUUUCUUUUAUAGACAAAGUAGACUCUGAAUGAACCUGUGCCACCAUCUCCACAUGAAUGAGUUCAUUUGCUGCACAACCAACCAACCAACCACACACAGCAAACACCACAAUAAUUUGCAACCUUUGGGACAAAAUAACCCAGAAGUUCUAAACCCUUAAUUGAUCCAGCACUACCCCAUUUUUUUAAAUAACUACAAUAUUUAGGAAAAUUGUUCAAAGACAUCAAUUCGUUGGCAAACAAACCAUGAACUUUACUGAUACCUAUGCCCUAUUUAAUUUAGAAUUGCUCCCAAGUCUUCCACCAUAGCGAUCCGAUGCUCUACCAUUGAGCUACGAAUGACACCUGUAACACUUCUACUUCUUCGACACAUUAACAUAACUGCACGAGUUAAAUAGUCCCUCAGACGACAAUGGAAGGAUAUAGGAAGGCAAUGCUAGAAUGGUAUGGCAACCGACGCCUAAUUCGGUGGUUAGAUUCACAAUUAUGUUCCCCAGGAUCUUCCAAACAUCCUAGGAAGUAUACCAUUCAAGUGCACCAACAAUGUUGAGAAACAUACCAACAAUGACAAUACCAACUUUUGCCAAGUGAGUAAGUUGUGGGAUGAACAUGUUUUAAGAAUGGGUAAUAUAAGAGACAAACAUUUCUUUAAACAAAUGGACUUUUUGUCGAUUACAUUGCGCACUGCAUUUUACUUUA
rnacentral:lncRNA from 1 species